rnacentral:tRNA from 1 species
CUGCUGCAGGGCGUCGGGCGUGAGCGGGCGGCCGUGACGGGCCAGGUAGUCGGGCGCGGCGACCAGCACCCGGCGGUUCCAGUCUGCCAGCGGCAGG